rnacentral:rRNA from 1 species
CAAUAGCGUAUAUUUAAGUUGUUGCAGUUAAAAAGCUCGUAGUUGGAUUUCGGAUGGGACUUGCCGGUCCGUCGUUUCGAUGUGCACUGGCCAGUCCUAUCUUGUUGUCGGGGACUAGCUCCUGGGCUUCACUGUCCGGGACUAGGAGCUGACGAGGUUACUUUAAGUAAAUUAGAGUGUUCAAAGCAAGCCUACGCUCUGAAUACAUUAGCAUGGAAUAACACGAUAGGACUCUGGCUUAUCUUGUUGGUCUGUGAGACCAGAGUAAUGAUUAAGAGGGACAGUCGGGGGCAUUCGUAUUUCAUUGUCAGAGGUGAAAUUCUUGGAUUUAUGAAAGACGAACUUCUGCGAAAGCAUUUGUCAAGGAUGUUUUCAUUAA